rnacentral:rRNA from 1 species
UGAGGAAUAUUGGUCAAUGGCCGGAAGGCUGAACCAGCCAAGCCGCGUGAAGGACGAAGGUGCCAAGCAUUGUAAACUCUUUUGUCAAGGGCAAAAUUCAGGCUCGAGAGCCUGACCGAGGGUACUUGAAGAAAAAGCAUCGGCUAAACUCCGUGCC